rnacentral:rRNA from 1 species
UUGGGCAAUAAUAGUAGUGGUUUUUACCCAGCCUAGGGAGUCGGUUCAAGUUAAAUUAAUGUGCCAGCGACUGCGGGUAGACAUAGUGGGCCUGAUUUGUUUUAGGUCUGAGGUAGUAGUCGUAGGCGGUAUUUACACCCCCUCAUUUGUCAUUUCCCUAACUCAGCUAACAAAGUAAAAAGAGUAGUUAUUGCUGGAAGUUUGGGGGGUGGUUUUGAUGUCGAACUGAAACGGAUUAGGUACCCGUGUAGGAACUGCAGGUAGGCAUAAGCAGCUCAGGUGUUGUGUUAUUGAGAGUUAAGAGAGAAUUAACUAGGCGGUCGUAUAAAUAAGGAUAGGGGAGCUUGCUAGUUGAAUUGUGAAGGUACUCAGUUUUUUAAGAUUCUCUCAUGGUUAUCCAUUUCAAAGUGAUGUAUGUUCCGUCAAUUAGGGUAUGGGCGUUUAAGUCAGGUAUCUUUUUCUUUUAAUGAGGAAGGAAGGUCAGGUAACAUGUCCUUUGUGGGAGUCUGAUUAGUGAGCUACAAUUGAUUUCAUUUCAAUAGAAUUUACAAUAGGAUUGGUGAAUUUGGUAAAUAGAACUUGUUAGUAAAAAUAAACAAUUAGGAUUGUGUCCUACUAACCCCACUUGGCUAGUUGGCCAGGUGCGGUUGGUUCUGGUACAUAUGUUUGGUUGUUGUUUUGAAUAUAAUUUAGGAGCACUUACUGCCCGCCAGGUGAAGGGUGUUGUUGUAGCUGAGGCUGGGGUUUAUUGAGACACAGGAGACUCCAUGCAUGGGCAUAUGACACACAGCUACCAAGGCGUAACAUGGUAGCCCCUCUAGAAAGAUGGGCUGGAUACUAUUCGG